UACGUAGGGUGCAAGCGUUGUCCGGAAUUAUUGGGCGUAAAGAGCUCGUAGGCGGUCUGUCGCGUCGGCUGUGAAAUCCCGAGGCUCAACCUCGGGUCUGCAGUCGAUACGGGCAAACUAGAGUAUUGCAGGGGAGACUGGAAUUCCUGGUGUAGCGGUGAAAAUGCGCAGAUAUCAGGAGGAACACCGGUGGCGAAGGCGGGUCUCUGGGCAAUAACUGACGCUGAGGAGCGAAAGCGUGGGGGAGCGAACAGG
rnacentral:rRNA from 1 species